rnacentral:rRNA from 1 species
UACGUAGGGUGCAAGCGUUGUCCGGAAUUAUUGGGCGUAAAGAGCUCGUAGGCGGUCUGUCGCGUCUGCUGUGAAAACUCAGGGCUUAACCCUGAGCUUGCAGUGGGUACGGGCAGACUAGAGUGCGGUAGGGGAGACUGGAAUUCCUGGUGUAGCGGUGAAAUGCGCAGAUAUCAGGAGGAACACCGGUGGCGAAGGCGGGACUCUGGGCCGAUACUGACGCUGGAGGAGCGAAA